AUGCAGCUACUCAGCAUCUGGUUCGUGUGGGGAGCAAUUCUAGCAGACCUGUGUCGUGGAGAUUCUGUCACUCAGUCACUCUCCUCAGAUGUUGGCACAGAAGGAGAAGCAGUUACUCUAAGCUGUACCUAUGAAACUACAUUGAGCGACUAUACAUUAUACUGGUACCGACAGCACCCAGACAAGCAGUUCGAGUAUAUACUGUGGAAAAAUACUGCUGGCUAUGAUGAUAAAGCAAAUUUUGCUAAAAAUCGAUUCUCUGUAGAACUUCAGAAGGGGAAGAAAUUCACCAGUUUGACUAUCUCAUGGCUACAGCUGACUGACACUGCCAUGUAUCACUGUGCUUUCUGGGACCUCCCAGUGAUGAAAUACAGCCUCCCUUCUGUACAAAAACUACAUGUGGACCAUAGAUUGAUCUACAUACCGGAGCUUUCACAGAAUCUCCAGAAGUUACUAUGUGUUUUCAAGAGUUUCAAUUCAGACUGCGAGAAAACCACACUAGCCUCACAACAAACUGUCAUCUGA